rnacentral:tRNA from 1 species
ACCUUCGUGGUGUAACGGUUAGCGCACUUGACGCAUAUUCGAGAGGUCCAGGUUCGAGUCCCAGCAAGGGUG